rnacentral:lncRNA from 1 species
CUUUGAUUAUCUAUAUACGUUUCCUUUACGAUGGAAGAAGAGAAUGUUGAAUAUGUUUUCUCCAUCUUGUGUUGGCAUAUACGCCCUAUGAUUUUAUUGCAAUUUCAUGUGAAGUCAUUUAUUGUGGGGGUCAUCUUCUUGCCUUUCUUUUCCGGGGUGAGUCACAUGGGAGCUUAUGUUGUUGCCUCAAGGCACCAAAACAACAUCAUGACAAUGAUGAUGACGAUGUCGACAUCAUAGUUGCCCCCACACAACCAUCCAAAUACAGCUCAUCGAAUUAUUGAUUCCACCGACUCUUGGACAAUUCCAAGGUACCCUCCUCACUCAUUGAUCUUUUGUGUGAACCCAAAUCACUGAAAUCAUUUUUGCAACUCUUUUCAUGGAUGUUGUGGAUUAAUCAAAGAUAACAUCAGCAAUUGUAAUAAUAUGAUGAAGGAACUCAUAAACAGUCUGAUAAUUGAUGGUACACAUAGAGAUAUACAUACAAGAACAUAGGGAAACAGAUGGUUACAUUAACAAUGCAACAUUCUAAACAUGAGAAACCAAAUCACACAAACUUCAUUAACAAAUACAAUAAAAUAAUAGAGUUAAAACAAAAGAAUGAUCAAAAGAUGAAACCAGAUGCCAAUGCAACAACAGAUGCAAACAAUGCUGGUACAAACAUAGCGGCAUCAGAGGUUGGGCUUGGAGCCGGAGCUUCCACGGUGGUGGCUGCCGCAGCAGAAAAAGCCAUCGCAACAACCAU